GCUGAUCCCCGCUGAGUAUGUUUGCUAUCAACGCAACCCGGUGUGUAGAGUACUGUAUUUGUUAGUAGCUGCAGUAUGAUUAAAAAAUGCAUUGUGCUUUAGACUAAUGGUGAAUAAGCAAAAAUGCUUGUCAAUUCGGAUGUAAUAUUGGUAUAUUUACCGUAAAUGGCGUAUUUGUGUUUUUUUUUUCUCCAACACAAUGUCUGGAGUCCCAGUGUUGGAUACGCUCUUCCUACUUAUGUCCUUGAGCGAGACACUGAGCCUUCACUUCCAGUGUGUUUUCCUGCUCCCUCAGGUCACACAAGGAAGCAGGGACAGAGAAUGUGGGCAUAUGAGAGAAGGAAAGGAAAUGAAGGAGAACACACGAGGAAACCGACACAAAGCCACAGUGAGAAGUAGGGAGACGAUGGGGAGGUGCCACGUCAUGCCUGAAGCUCCAGAGCAUUCACAGUCUCGCUCAAGGAUGCUUCAACCAGGACCUACGCCCGCUGUCAAGUGGCUUGAACCCAGGUCUUCCAGACGAAGGUCGCUCCACUUAAUCACUGCCUCUGCAGAAUGGGAGCGUCAUGAUAUAUGUAACCAGACCACUGACAGAGAUGGUUGGGUGAGCAGAGGGAAGGAGGAAAUCCACCUGCAGAUACUCCUGCACUGCUAAUUAUUUUCAACAGCCCUCAGAGAACAGAAAGAGAGAAAGCAGGACCCUGAUGAGCCACCGGCUGCAAGCCAAUUCCCAGGAUGACACGCAUGUUUGUGCCACACCGAUUGCCGUUUGCUUUUCAUCUGAGGGCUAGAAUGAGCUGUUGACCCCCAACCCGUGCUCUCCUCUUCUGCCUUUCUCCCUUUUCAGCAUUUCUCCC
rnacentral:lncRNA from 1 species